AGCGAACGCUGGCGGCAGGCUUAACACAUGCAAGUCGAGCGGGUGUAGCAAUACAUCAGCGGCAGACGGGUGAGUAAUGCGUGGGAACGUACCUUUUGGUUCGGAACAACCCAGGGAAACUUGGGCUAAUACCGGAUAAGCACUUACGGGGAAAGAUUUAUCGCCGAAAGAUCGACCCCGGUCUUAUUAUCUAGUUGGUGAGGUAAUGGCACACUAAGGCAACGAUCAGUAGCUGGUCUGAGAGGAUGAUCAGCGACAUUGGUACUGCGACACGGCCGAAGCUCCUACGGGAGGCAGCAGUGGGGAAUAUUGGACAAUGGGGGCAACGCUGAUCCAGCCAUGCCGCGUGAUUGAUGAAGGCCCUAGGGUUGUAAAGCUCUUUUGUGCGGGAAGAUAAUGACGGUACCGCAAGAAUAAGCCCCGGCUAACUUCGUGCCAGCAACCGCAGUAA
rnacentral:rRNA from 1 species